rnacentral:tRNA from 1 species
UGGGGUGUGGCUCAGUGGCAGGGCACCUGCCUUGGACAUGUGAGGCCCUGGGUUCGAUCCUCAGCACCACAU